ensembl:lncRNA
ACACACAUGGAAAACUUGAGUUGUGCUCAAGUAAAUUUGAUUCACUGUAAAUGUCACUGCAGAUAAAGCUUUUCAAGAAGGGUGCAAGAGUAGACAGGACUUGGAGGAUCAGCUAGUAACCUGCUGGACACAUGGAUAGGUCAUGUGGAUUCCUUACACGGCAGGAAGUUGGAAGUUGGACAACCUACUUGGAUUUCAUCCGUAAGACCAUGGACAACAUAUAUUGGAAUGGUUGUUUGGAUUUAGAAUGAAGAGAUGAACAGGACCAGAAAGUCAAAGAGUGUGAUUUGAGGUGCUUAUAACAUUUAGAAAAUAACAUCCUUUGGGCUUGAAACUUGUGUUUGGAGAGAUCAAAGCUGACGCAGGGAUGGAAAACAAUUGUGUAGAUUCCUUUUCCAAAUUUGCUGACACACAAAAGGAUAUGAAAUGAAGAUGGAGAGAUAUAACAACUGCUACUUGGGAACACAGCUACAUAAACAGUAGAAAAAUUCAGCUUGGAAAAAAACGUGGACAUCUGUACUUGAAGACCAUAUUCACUGCAAGUCUAACUUCCCAUUGGAUCAGCUUGCUCAAGGUCUUAAAUGAGUUCUGCCAGUUUCCCAGGAUGGUGUUUAUACAACCUUUCCAGAAAACUUGUUCUGCUACUUAACCAUCCUAAAUGUUAACUUUUAUUUUUUCCCUUUACGUCUAGUUGUGCACUUUCUUACUCGGUAUCACGUGGUACAUUUGGAAUGAUAAGACUACCAAGUAUGUUUAAACAGCAGACCUAAGGAAUGUUUUCUUCCUCCCUGGAUGUUUAUGCACUUUCUGGCUGUGUCCUGUCACUGACAAGUUACAUACAUACACAGUAGAAGCGUAUUAUUUGAGCCAGAGCUGAUCUGGCACCAGGACUUCAGACUCAUCGGGGAUUUGUCACAUGAGGUGCUCUGUAUCUGGUAGUACACAUUGUGUCUGGUAUGAACAAGGAGGGUAUGGAGCACAGAAUUUUGAAGACAAAAGCGUUGCUGCCUAGGGAGUCCUAACUUUAUGUCUCCAUGUUCUUCCUAUGUUAGUAUUUUGUUUAUAUCAAAGCCAAUGACACUGAGAUAUUUUCAAGUACCUGUCAAUAACUUCCUACCCCUAUUCUGUAUUCAAGUGAGAACUAAGACCAGAAUUUGUACAUUUUCAUUGUCUUUUGCUUAUUGACCCGCUACUAUGAUUUCUGAGCAGAAGAGCAUAGUUCAGCCUGGAAUCAAAAAAAUGUCAAAGAGCAGGAAGAAGGUCUGCACCCAAACAGAUACAUCAACUUCAGUGAUGCCUCUAGACUCAAGGCAAGAUAGAAUAAAGCUUUUGGAGUGAAAUUGAACAUGCAGCUUUAGUAAAGAACAACAAAUCCCUUAGCAUAGACCAGAUGGAGAGAGAAACUUCUAAGGACAAUGUGUGCACUGGGUAGAAAGUGGGCACUGACAACAGGCAAGGCUGGAGAGAAAUUCCAAUCACUCCUACAACCAGUCUUAAAUUCUGAAAUCAACAUUUCUCAGCCAUGUUACUGAGUCCUCUCACAGAGACUAAAAAGAUGAGUGUAUUUUCCAUUGUUUUUGCUUUUGUUCCAUUAUGGUUGUUUAUUUUUUCCUUUCUCAUACAAAUGGCUUUAGCUUUCCAUCAAACUGUGAUUGUUAUUAUCUUUUAUAUCUGCACACAGCUUGUGUCUAAGUACUGUUAUGGACAAAAGACUGUCUACCAUAAGGCAGAAAGAUAAAACAAAAUGGUGUUCAGUGGUCUAUAAAAUAAUAGAAAAAUCUUG